AGCGAACGCUGGCGGCAGGCUUAACACAUGCAAGUCGAGCGCCCCGCAAGGGGAGCGGCAGACGGGUGAGUAACGCGUGGGAACGUACCUUUUGGUUCGGAACAACACAGGGAAACUUGUGCUAAUACCGGAUAAGCCCUUACGGGGAAAGAUUUAUCGCCGAAAGAUCGGCCCGCGUCUGAUUAGCUUGUUGGUGAGGUAACGGCUCACCAAGGCGACGAUCAGUAGCUGGUCUGAGAGGAUGAUCAGCCACAUUGGGACUGGGACACGGUCCAAACUCCUACGGGAGGCAGCAGUGGGGAAUAUUGGACAAUGGGGGCAACCCUGAUCCAGCCAUGCCGCGUGAGUGAUGAAGGCCCUAGGGUUGUAAAGCUCUUUUAACGGGGAAGAUAAUGACGGUACCCGUAGAAUAAGCCCCGGCUAACUUCGUGCCAGCCGCCGCCGUAAAAC
rnacentral:rRNA from 1 species